rnacentral:rRNA from 1 species
UGGGGAAUAUUGCACAAUGGGCGCAAGCCUGAUGCAGCCAUGCCGCGUGUGUGAAGAAGGCCUUCGGGUUGUAAAGCACUUUCAGCGGGGAGGAAGGCGAUAAGGUUAAUAACCUUGUCGAUUGACGUUACCCGCAGAAGAAGCACCGGCUAACUCCGUGCCAGCAGCCGCGGUAAUACGGAGGGUGCAAGCGUUAAUCGGAAUUACUGGGCGUAAAGCGCACGCAGGCGGUCUGUCAAGUCGGAUGUGAAAUCCCCGGGCUUAACCUGGGAACUGCAUUCGAAACUGGCAGGCUAGAGUCUUGUAGAGUGGGGUAGAAUUCCAGGUGUAGCGGUGAAAUGCGUAGAGAUCUGGAGGAAUACCGGUGGCGAAGGCGACCCCCUGGACAAAGACUGACGCUCAGGUGCGAAAGCGUGGGGAGCAAACAGG